GAAUUUGCUGAUGUGAAUUGCAGUAUCUUGUGGAAGCCCACUUCCCCAGAUGUGAAUAAGCCAUCCCUGUGAUGAAGUCUGACUGCAGUGCUUCAUUUGGGGGCAGUGGAAAUUCAUGCCAAGCCAGAGGGAGGUUUCCUCUCAGCCUCAGUCUCUCGGCUGUUUUAUCACCUACAGGUCCUCACGGAGCUUCCAAGGGGCUGGUGGAGCCUGAAAGAAGACACACCAAAGUAGCUUCUUUGUCUGAACAUCACCACCAGAUCUGGAUUGCUCCCCAGCUUCUCCAGCAGUGGCCCCGCUAGGAUUCCCUAGAAAGCA
rnacentral:lncRNA from 12 species